rnacentral:rRNA from 1 species
UACGGAGGGUGCGAGCGUUAAUCGGAAUUACUGGGCGUAAAGCGCGCGUAGGUGGUCAAGCAAGUCGGAUGUGAAAGCCCCGGGCUCAACCUGGGAAUGGCAUUCGAUACUACUUGGCUAGAGUCUGGUAGAGGAAAGCGGAAUUCCCGGUGUAGCGGUGAAAUGCGUAGAUAUCGGGAAGAACACCAGUGGCGAAGGCGGCUUUCUGGACUAAGACUGACACUGAGGCGCGAAAGCGUGGGUAGCAAACAGG